rnacentral:rRNA from 1 species
GUGGGGAAUCUUGCGCAAUGGGCGAAAGCCUGACGCAGCCAUGCCGCGUGAAUGAUGAAGGUCUUAGGAUUGUAAAAUUCUUUCACCGGGGACGAUAAUGACGGUACCCGGAGAAGAAGCUCCGGCUAACUUCGUGCCAGCAGCCGCGGUAAUACGAAGGGGGAUAGCGUUGCUCGGAAUUACUGGGCGUAAAGGGCGCGUAGGCGGACAGCUUAGUCAGAGGUGAAAGCCCAGGGCUCAACCUUGGAAUUGCCUUUGAUACUGGCUGUCUUGAGUUUGGGAGAGGUGAGUGGAACUCCGAGUGUAGAGGUGAAAUUCGUAGAUAUUCGGAAGAACACCAGUGGCGAAGGCGACAUAUUGGCUCAUUACUGACGCUGAGGCGCGAAAGCGUGGGGAGCAAACAGGAUUAGAUACCCGUGUAGUCC